CUUAAUUAAAACGCUUAAUGCUGCUAGACAGAGUAGCCAAAACUCUGCUCCAUGGGCUCAAGUAGGACUGUGAACCAGAAGGGUCUCCAGGCAGCCAAGGCCUUGCCUCGAGGGAAUCCGAGACAGACCAGAGGGCUGAGGAGACCAGACCUGGAGAGAAGAAGCCGUCCAUAGAAUUGGUGGAGAAACUGAAGCAUGGAGAGGGGAAUGACUUGACAGAACUGGAAAUUCAUCCCAGCUCUCCCGAUUCCCAGUCCAGUGACACAGAGGCAAAAUCAUGAUGAAAAUUAUUGAUUUUAUUAUAUCAAGGGUCCAACCACGUUCACUCUGAUCCUCUCGAAGGGUGUCUCAAUCAAGGGCAGAGGAGCCUAGCCGACCCUUUGGGUAGGAACAACAGUAUUCAAUCACCUCAUGAUGCAUGCCUGGGCCAACAGAAGCAGGCUGAUACCCAAGACAAUGUCGGGUUUCUUCCCAGGUGCCAGCGCAUAGUAUAUCAUGCACAAACAGCAACAUAGUCCAGCAGUACCUGCGCAGCACCAGCAGCUGGCCCUCAAAACUCUGGUUUGCUGAUUCCUUUCAAUUUGGUAGAAGCACUCUUUCUUGAGUGUGAAGUGUGGGUACUGCCCACCAUGCCGAGGCUCUGUUACUUCUUCAUUUAUGAAGGCCAUGUCCAUAUGCAUGACUCAGUGUAGGGUCAGUCCUCUGUUCUUGCACAAAAUUCCCAGCCUAUAGGAGGACUUCCAGGUCUCAACUGCUUGCCUCUUCUUUCCCUGUGGGGGUCACUGGCCAUGUUGCUUGGGAUGUUCCUUCCUCGAGGUUGUCGACUUCCUCAAGCCUUACCAAGCUCCAGAGAACUGGUGGUAAUAAUUGGCCCAGGUUCUCUUUGCUACCCAGCCUCCUGUAUUAAUAACUUGCCAGAAAAAAAGUCAUUUCUGAUCUAUGAUUAUGGGGUAGGCCAAUUUUUCGGCUAGGACUACCAUUAUCAGUGUGGUAUGGGCUCCCAUGCUCAGUUGUAAAAGUUAGUUACAGUAUGUAUUGACAACGCAAUGGAUACACUGCGGGUGGAUCAGAUUCUUAGGAGUGAUGUCACCUCCCUCCAUGGCCCUCCCACUUUUUGAAAGUGGACAGGCCUGGCCCAUUCUCUUUUUGCCAUGGGCCUCCUCGCCCCACCCCUGGCCAGACUGCAGCUGGAGCCCAGCCGAGGAGCCUGGGCAGCAUGGGGUGCCACCCUGUGGACCUCCACCUGCCUGAGGUGGGGGGGGGGGCGCCAAGAGCAGCCCCCAGCCUGUGUCCCCAUCCCCCAGGCUCCCUGCCCAGGGCAGGUGGAGGGUCCUUACUAGUCCUUGAUAGAUGGACUAGUAAGUGGUCAGAUAGCAGGUGUUGUCAGAGGUGCAUAAAAAAUGGAAUUUAAUCACAUGACACCACUACAACAUGAAAUAUUGAAAACCAAAACAUUAUUUGUGGAUCAAGAAACUUGAGAUUUCUAGGUAGGGAAGGAGUGAGGCUAUCAAAAGGAGAAAAGAGGGAAGAAAUUAGGAAGAGAAGUAGAGAUGACAGCAUGACAGAAAGGUAGGGCUUGAACUGUGUUAAAUUAUUUUAAAAUCAGGCUAGCUUUCAGCAGCAGUCUAACAACACUUUUGCCCAUUUGUUGUUUUCUUGUUUCCUUUAACAUGUGAAUAUUAUGUUUUUGUUAUAAAUGGAAUGCUUGUUUACUCAUUAAACAUUUCCAGGGCCAAUAAUA